rnacentral:rRNA from 1 species
UACGUAGGUGGCAAGCGUUAAUCGGAAUUACUGGGCGUAAAGCGUGCGCAGGCGGUUUUGUAAGUCUGUCGUGAAAUCCCCCGGGCUCAACCUGGGAAUUGCGAUGGAGACUGCAAGGCUAGAAUCUGGCAGAGGGGGGUAGAAUUCCACGUGUAGCAGUGAAAUGCGUAGAGAUGUGGAGGAACACCGAUGGCGAAGGCAGCCCCCCUGGGGUCAAGAUUGACGCUCAUGCACGAAAGCGUGGG